GCCUAAUUGCAGCCAUUGUACUAGGGAGUUCCUCACGAGCUAUAUCUGCUAUCUUUGAAAGAGACGUUGCAGCUCUCCCCAUUGCCGUGCAAGCCGUAAAUGACAAGAGAAAAAGCUUGGUCAUUAAAACUGAGCUUGAUAGACGGCUGAAUAAACGAGGGAACAAUGAGAUUUCCAGCUUGCACAGCCAUCCUCGCUAAUUCAUCUUCACCA
rnacentral:misc_RNA from 1 species